UACAGAGGUCUCAAGCGUUUGUUCGGAUUCAUUGGGCGUAAAGGGUGCGUAGGCGGCGCGGUAAGUCGGGUGUGAAAUCUCGGGGCUUAACUCCGAAACUGCAUUCGAUACUGCCGUGCUUGAGGACUGGAGAGGAGACUGGAAUUUACGGUGUAGCGGUGAAAUGCGUAGAUAUCGUAAGGAAGACCAGUGGCGAAGGCGGGUCUCUGGACAGUUCCUGACGCUGAGGCAACGAAGGCCCAGGGGGAGCAAACGGGG
rnacentral:rRNA from 1 species